GACGAACGCUGGCGGCGUGCUUAACACAUGCAAGUCGAGCGGAGCGGCGGACGGGUGAGUAACGCGUGAGUAACUGCCCCCCUCUCUGGGAUAACAGUUGGAAACGGCUGCUAAUACCGGAUAGUGGGGGAUGACGCGCGUCCUAUCAGCUUGUUGGGGGUGUAGUGGCCUACCACGGCGACGACCGGUAGCCGUCCUGAGAGGUCGACCGGCCACAUUGGGAUGAGAUACGGCCCAAAUUUCUACGUGAGGCAGCAGUGGGGAAUAUUGCACAAUGGGUGAAAGCCUGAUGCAGCGACGCCGCGUGGGGGAUGAAGGCUUUCGGGUUGUAAACCUCUUUCGCUAUCGAAAGGGUAGGUGGAGAAGAAGCGCCGGCUAACUACGUGCCAGCCGCCGCGGUAAUUC
rnacentral:rRNA from 1 species